UACGAAGGGGGCUAGCGUUGUUCGGAAUUACUGGGCGUAAAGCGCACGUAGGCGGAUACUUAAGUCAGGGGUGAAAUCCCGGGGCUCAACCCCGGAACUGCCUUUGAUACUGGGUAUCUCGAGUCCGGAAGAGGUGAGUGGAAUUCCGAGUGUAGAGGUGAAAUUCGUAGAUAUUGGGAAGAACACCGGUGGCGAAGGCGGCCAUCUGGACCGCAACUGACGCUGAGGCGCGAAAGCGUGGGGAGCAAACAGG
rnacentral:rRNA from 1 species